rnacentral:lncRNA from 1 species
UUUACAGAAUCUGGUGGGAUCACAGAUUUAUAAAAAAAAACAAUGAUAUAAACCAUUUCCAAGCUCUAGCAAACAAGGAUGGCGUAAGAGAUUAUAACCAGCAAAUAAAGCAACAGAUUGAUACAUGAAUAAUUUAAAAACACAUUUUUACAGAUUUGUUCCGGGAAUCACAAAAGCUUAAGCAUUUUCAGGCGACUUUCAUGUUCUGGGUCUAACUUGGGUGGGACGUAACAGCCCUGUAGAUCUUCUACUACGUAUUCCU